GGACAGUCAGUCUUGACAGGGGUGGGGUCACUCCAGGAGCGGCUGAAACUCUUCGAUCUACGCUCGGCAAACGCUAGUGCAGAUGCAGUUCGGCCAAAAAUUGAUGCCUGACUGAUUAUAAAUUAUGACGGAGUGCGGAUCCAAAAGUCCUACCAGCAGAACAACAAGGAGAAGCCCUGCUGUUCGCCAUCAGUCGAGGAAAAUGAGAAAACCAUCUAAAGAGAAUCUGCAGACUAUGUUGGGAUGGGACAUCAACAUGGAG